rnacentral:misc_RNA from 1 species
CCUACGGGCGGCAGCAGUCGGGAAUUUUGGGCAAUGGGCGAAAGCCUGACCCAGCAACGCCGCGUGAAGGAUGAAGUAUUUCGGUAUGUAAACUUCGAAAGAAUAGGAAGAAUAAAUGACGGUACUAUUUAUAAGCUCCGGCUAACUACGUGCCAGCAGCCGCGGUAAUACGUAGGGAGCAAGCGUUGUUCGGAUUUACUGGGCGUAAAGGGCGCGUAGGCGGCAACUCAAGUCAGCUGUGAAAUCUCCGAGCUUAACUCGGAACGGUCAGCUGAUACUGUUUUGCUAGAGUGCAGAAGGGGCAAUCGGAAUUCUUGGUGUAGCGGUGAAAUGCGUAGAUAUCAAGAGGAACACCUGAGGUGAAGACGGGUUGCUAGGCUGACACUGACGCUGAGGCGCGAAAGCCAGGGGAGCAAACGGGAUUAGAUACCCGAGUAGUC